rnacentral:tRNA from 1 species
GCCUUCUUAGCUCAAUUGGCAGAGCAUCGGUCUUGUAAACCGAAGGUUAUCGGUUCAACUCCGAUAGAAGGCU